rnacentral:tRNA from 1 species
AAGUAAUGAAGUAAUAAUUACAUUUAGUUUCGACCUAAAAUUAGAGUCAUAAUACUCCUUACUUA